AUGGGGCAGGGGGGGUGCUAUAAUGCAGUCGAACGCGUUGGCCCAAUUGAUUGAUGGUGCUUGCACCUGAUUGAUUUUGGUCGCCAACGAGUGGCGGACGGGUGAGUAACACGUAGGUAACCUGCCCAGAAGCGGGGGACAACAUUUGGAAACAGAUGCUAAUACCGCAUAACAGCGUUGUUCGCAUGAACAACGCUUAAAAGAUGGCUUCUCGCUAUCACUUCUGGAUGGACCUGCGGUGCAUUAGCUUGUUGGUGGGGUAACGGCCUACCAAGGCGAUGAUGCAUAGCCGAGUUGAGAGACUGAUCGGCCACAAUGGGACUGAGACACGGCCCAUACUCCUACGGGAGGCAGCAGUAGGGAAUCUUCCACAAUGGGCGCAAGCCUGAUGGAGCAACACCGCGUGAGUGAAGAAGGGUUUCGGCUCGUAAAGCUCUGUUGUUAAAGAAGAACACGUAUGAGAGUAACUGUUCAUACGUUGACGGUAUUUAACCAGAAAGUCACGGCUAACUACGUGCCAGCAGCCGCGGUAAUACGUAGGUGGCAAGCGUUAUCCGGAUUUAUUGGGCGUAAAGAGAGUGCAGGCGGUUUUCUAAGUCUGAUGUGAAAGCCUUCGGCUUAACCGGAGAAGUGCAUCGGAAACUGGAUAACUUGAGUGCAGAAGAGGGUAGUGGAACUCCAUGUGUAGCGGUGGAAUGCGUAGAUAUAUGGAAGAACACCAGUGGCGAAGGCGGCUACCUGGUCUGCAACUGACGCUGAGACUCGAAAGCAUGGGUAGCGAACAGGAUUAGAUACCCUGGUAGUCCAUGCCGUAAACGAUGAGUGCUAGGUGUUGGAGGGUUUCCGCCCUUCAGUGCCGGAGCUAACGCAUUAAGCACUCCGCCUGGGGAGUACGACCGCAAGGUUGAAACUCAAAGGAAUUGACGGGGGCCCGCACAAGCGGUGGAGCAUGUGGUUUAAUUCGAAGCUACGCGAAGAACCUUACCAGGUCUUGACAUCUUGCGCCAACCCUAGAGAUAGGGCGUUUCCUUCGGGAACGCAAUGACAGGUGGUGCAUGGUCGUCGUCAGCUCGUGUCGUGAGAUGUUGGGUUAAGUCCCGCAACGAGCGCAACCCUUGUUACUAGUUGCCAGCAUUAAGUUGGGCACUCUAGUGAGACUGCCGGUGACAAACCGGAGGAAGGUGGGGACGACGUCAGAUCAUCAUGCCCCUUAUGACCUGGGCUACACACGUGCUACAAUGGACGGUACAACGAGUCGCGAACUCGCGAGGGCAAGCAAAUCUCUUAAAACCGUUCUCAGUUCGGACUGCAGGCUGCAACUCGCCUGCACGAAGUCGGAAUCGCUAGUAAUCGCGGAUCAGCAUGCCGCGGUGAAUACGUUCCCGGGCCUUGUACACACCGCCCGUCACACCAUGAGAGUUUGUAACACCCAAAGUCGGUGGGGUAACCUUUAGGAGCCAGCCGCCUACAGGGGGACCCCAGUUA
rnacentral:rRNA from 1 species